rnacentral:rRNA from 1 species
UGGCUCAGAGUGAACGCUGGCGGUGUGCUUAACACAUGCAAGUCGAACGAGGUGUUUCGCUGUAGCAAUUCAGCGAAAUAUUUAGUGGCAAACGGGUGAGUAACACGUAGGGAAUCUUCCUUUAAAAGGAGAAUAACCCAUCGAAAGAUGGGCUAAUGCUCCAUGAGACCACAGUCUGUCAUAGACAGACAGAGGUUAAAGGUGGCGCAAGUCAUCGUUUAGAGACGACCCUGCGGCCUAUCAGCUAGUUGGUGAGGUAACGGCCCACCAAGGCGACGACGGGUAGCCGGCCUAAAAGGGCGAUCGGCCACACUGGCACUGAGACACGGGCCAGACUCCUACGGGAGGCAGCAGUGGGGAAUUUUGGACAAUGGGGGAAACCCUGCUCCAGCGACACCGCGUGGAGGAUGAAGGUCUUCGGAUUGUAAACUCCUUUUGGAGGGGAAGAAUUGACCGUUUAAUACACGGUUUUGACGGUACCCUCAGAAAAAGCCACGGCUAACUACGUGCCAGCAGCCGCGGUAAUACGUAGGUGGCGAGCGUUACUCGGAAUCACUAGGCGUAAAGCGCAUGUAGGCGGUUGGUUAAGUCCGUUGUGAAAUCUCCACGCUUAACGUGGAGCGGUCAAUGGAAACUAGCCAGCUUGAGUUUGGGAGGGGUGACUGGAAUUCCCGGUGUAGCGGUGAAAUGCGUAGAGAUCGGGAGGAACACCAAUGGCGAAGGCAGGUCACUGGACCAAUACUGACGCUGAGAUGCGAAAGCUAGGGGAGCAAACAGGAUUAGAUACCCUGGUAGUCCUAGCUGUAAACGAUGUUCACUAGGUGUGGGUGGUAUCGACCCCUUCCGCGCCGACGCUAACGCAUUAAGUGAACCGCCUGGGGAGUACGGCCGCAAGGUUGAAACUCAAAGGAAUUGACGGGGGCCCGCACAAGCGGUGGAGUAUGUGGUUUAAUUCGACACAACACGAAAAACCUUACCUGGGCUUGAAGAGCAGGUGGUAAAACCUAGAAAUAGGGAUGACCCGUAAGGGAGCCUGUAGAGGUGCUGCAUGGUUGUCGUCAGCUCGUGUCGUGAGAUGUUGGGUUAAGUCCCGCAACGAGCGCAACCCUUAUCUCAUGUUGCUACCCUCGUAAGAGGCGCACUCUUGAGAAACUGCCGGUGAUAAACCGGAGGAAGGUGGGGACGACGUCAAAUCCUCAUGGCCUUUAUGUCCAGGGCUACACACGUACUACAAUGGCUGGCACAGAGGGAUGCAAUACCGCAAGGUGGAGCCAACCCCUAAAACCAGCCCCAGUUCAGAUUGUGGGCUGCAACUCGCCCACAUGAAGGCGGAAUCGCUAGUAAUCGCGAAUCAGAAGGUCGCGGUGAAUACGUUCCCGGGCCUUGUACACACCGCCCGUCACACCACGAAAGUCAGUUGCAACAGAAGCGGCCCGCAAGGGCAACCAAGUUGUGAUUGGUGAUUGGGGUGAAGUCGAAACAAGCUA